AUAUUUUGAACCGCAUGGUUCAAAAGUGAAAGACGGUCUUGCUGUCACUUAUAGAUGGAUCCGCGCUGCAUUAGCUAGUUGGUAAGGUAACGGCUUACCAAGGCAACGAUGCAUAGCCGACCUGAGAGGGUGAUCGGCCACACUGGAACUGAGACACGGUCCAGACUCCUACGGGAGGCAGCAGUAGGGAAUCUUCCGCAAUGGGCGAAAGCCUGACGGAGCAACGCCGCGUGAGUGAUGAAGGUCUUCGGAUCGUAAAACUCUGUUAUUAGGGAAGAACAUAUGUGUAAGUAACUGUGCACAUCUUGACGGUACCUAAUCAGAAAGCCACGGCUAACUACGUGCCAGCAGCCGCGGUAAUACGUAGGUGGCAAGCGUUAUCCGGAAUUAUUGGGCGUAAAGCGCGCGUAGGCGGUUUUUUAAGUCUGAUGUGAAAGCCCACGGCUCAACCGUGGAGGGUCAUUGGAAACUGGAAAACUUGAGUGCAGAAGAGGAAAGUGGAAUUCCAUGUGUAGCGGUGAAAUGCGCAGAGAUAUGGAGGAACACCAGUGGCGAAGGCGACUUUCUGGUCUGUAACUGACGCUGAUGUGCGAAAGCGUGGGGAUCAAACAGGAUUAGAUACCCUGGUAGUCCACGCCGUAAACGAUGAGUGCUAAGUGUUAGGGGGUUUCCGCCCCUUAGUGCUGCAGCUAACGCAUUAAGCACUCCGCCUGGGGAGUACGACCGCAAGGUU
rnacentral:rRNA from 1 species